rnacentral:rRNA from 1 species
GAUCCUGGCUAAGGACGAACGCUGGCGGCGUGCUUAACACAUGCAAGUCGAACGGAAAGGCCCUGCUUUUGUGGGGUGCCCGAGUGGCGAACGGGUGAGUAACACGUGAGUAACCUGCCCUUGACUUUGGGAUAACUUCAGGAAACUGGGGCUAAUACCGGAUAGGAGCUCCUGCUGCAUGGUGGGGGUUGGAAAGUUUCGGCGGUUGGGGAUGGACUCGCGGCUUAUCAGCUUGUUGGUGGGGUAGUGGCUUACCAAGGCUUUGACGGG